UGGGGAAUUUUGCACAAUGGGGGAAACCCUGAUGCAGCAACGCCGCGUGAGUGAAGAAGGCCCUUGGGUCGUAAAGCUCUUUCGGCCGAGAAGAAGGGUGUCAUGGCUAAUAUCCACGACAUUUGACGGUAUCGGAAGAAGAAGCACCUGCUAACUUCGUGCCAGCAGCAGCGGUAAUACGAAGGGUGCAAGCGUUGUUCGGAAUUACUGGGCGUAAAGGGCGCGUAGGCGGGUUUGUAAGUCGAAUGUGAAAUCCCCAGGCUUAACCUGGGACCUGCAUUCGAUACUGCUAAUCUUGAAUGCUUGAGAGGGUGGUGGAAUUCCUAGUGUAGAAGUGAAAUUCGUAGAUAUUAGGAGGAACAUCUGAGGCGAAGGCGGCCACCUGGCAAGACAUUGACGCUAAGGCGCGAAAGUGCGGGGAGCAAACAGG
rnacentral:rRNA from 1 species